ensembl:lncRNA
CGGGGAUCUGGGCCUGGUCGGGUGUCUGUAGUAGUUUAUCCCUCCCGUCCGACUCAUUGAAGAACUCUUCGUCCAGCUUGAGGAUUCACUCAGGAAUGCGAUUUUAGUGCUGAGUUACUGUACCUGUGAACAAAUGUGUGUUCUCAGAACACAUCUGCCAUCCUGAUGUGAAAACAAUCCUAGAUGCCGUGCCUACCUUAUGGCUCCAGGCAUCAACUCGCCACUUCCCUCCAAGAGGACACCCAGCUGUCCCUGUUGGUAAACCCAGCUGUUCCUGCUGGUAAACCCAACUGUUCCUGUCUGUCUCUCCAUUUUUCCUCUCAAUCUCUGUCUUGCUCCUUAUCCCCAUGUUUUUUUAGACUGUUGAAUGGCACAUUGUUAAGAAUUUAGGUCAAAUUUUGGUAAACCACCUCCCUUUGGUCAAUAACAAUGUCCUCUUCAGUGCAGAUUAAGUUAAAUGAAUAAGAAUGGAGUGGAUUCAUGUGAUGGGCUGGGUCAGACUGUCAGUGUCAAUACACAGUGAAUCUUUACUGUGACAGUUGUUUGUUUAAGAGGCGCCUCUGUGUCUCUCAAUAGGAGGUCACACAGGGGGAACUUCACACUAGUAUGAGCAAACAGGACCGCCUCAGUUCCAUGACUGGAACCUAUGUGAAAUGUGUGAACUAUAUAUACAAAAGUGUGUGGACACCUCUUCAAAUAGUGGAUUAAGCAAUUUAAA